rnacentral:lncRNA from 1 species
UUCAGUGAGUUAGCUGCGUCAGUGUUAGGCGAGCGUCAGCCAAAGGUGAGUAGAACUGAACCGUCUUUUCAAAGUAAUCAAACUUUUUAUCAUGUUCACGCAUCACGAAUGCCAUGUUUAUAUUAGGAUGCUUGUAUUAGAAUUCAUGAAUAUGAUGCAUUACAUAAUUUAUUGUUGAUGUGGAUAGAUAUUGGAUGACCCACUAGCCCUCGAGAUGUUAUGAUAUGAUAUGAUACGGAAAGACCAGGGCUUGCCCAUUCUACGCCCCUAGCACGAUGUAAGGGAAAGACCAGGGCUUGCCCAUUCUACGCCCCUGGCAUUAUGGAUAUGUUAUGUUAUGUUUAAGCGAAAGUCCUGAGGAGCUCCGUCGAGGGCCGGGCACAUUGGAAUAUGUAGAGGGUUACUGGUGACAAGUCCAUCUUGAUGUGAAUUGUUUGUGUUGUGAUGCAUUUCAUACGAACAUAUGUUUAUUAAAUUGUUUUUAUGUUCUGCUCACUAGGCUCUUGUAGCUUAUCCCUUUCCCCUAACCCCAG